ensembl:lncRNA
AUUUGGUCUGCCUCACAAUGAUAUUCUUCAGCAAGGAAAGAAAAAUAGGGUCUGUGGUUGGUGUGAAAGAGUAAAACCAGAUACACUUGCCAGUUGUACAAGAAAGUCAGAGGUUUUUUUCACACUUAGACUUGUUUUCCCUCAUUAAGGCAAAAUACCAAAUUCAUCCUCAGUUUCCUAAGAACAAGGCCCAGCCCUGGGAUGAAUUAGAAGGCGGUUAAUUAUGCUGAAUGCUGUGUCAAUCCUCUACUGAUGACAAAAACCAAGCACAGCUGCCAAUCUCCAGGACUUUUCUACUCUAAUAUGAAAAUUCUUCGUGGAAUGAUUGCUAUGAAAUGCCUCCUUCUGCUCACUGCUGUGGUGAAGCAUCGAGGAGUUGUCUGACGCUUGCAGCUCACCCAGAUUGCAGAAGACAGGGGCCACGUGCCCAUUAGCCUGAGGGGACACUCAGAAGCCUCCACCACCUACGGCCCAUGGGUUCUGAAACCAAAGUGAAUCACUUCUGGGGAAGACAACGACGUGUUUACUUUUCACGGAAUUGAAAAUUGAAGGUAUUUCAUAAUAUGAUCUGGGAAAAUUUGCCAGAUGUUUCAUUCUACUGUGUUCUUCUGGCAGGUCUACAAGAUAUAAUGCUGAGAAAGGCUAAUAAAUCAAGAUAGGUAUGAAAAGCUUAGGGACAAAAUUCAUAAAACCUUGAACUGCAGGAGGACGCUUGUUUUCUAGCUGCUGGAAUAUGAAAUUUCCUUAUUUUUUGAUACUUCACAGACAAGCUAAUAUAAACUAUAGAUCUCACUUUUACUCAUUUCUCUCUCCUCCUCCUCUUCUCCUUCUCUCCUUUCUUUCUGUUUCAGUUUUGCCAAUUUAAGAAUCUCUAAACCCAGAAAAGGACAAUGUAGCUUCUCAUUACUUGAAAAGGAUGAAUAUCUUCCCACAGUUUUGAAUACAGCUUCAACUUUAGGACUUUUGUGCUCAGCCCAAGGAAGGUACACAGGAUCAAACUUUGAGAUGCUUUAAAAUAAAUUCUUUUUGCCAAGGACAAGCACUGCAUGGACAGCCUUUGGCCCAUUUUCCUUUCCUUCCUCUUCAGAUUUCCGAGGGGCUAAGGAACUGUGGCAUUAAAUAGAGGAACACUGGGGCAGACUUCAUAUUGGUCAUCUGUUACGUUGGAUCACCGUGUCACGGUGACUCCAAUCCCAGCUGUCAUAUUUAUUUAUUGCUGCAUAACAAAUCGCCCCAAAACAUAGUGGCUUAAAACAACAGACAUAUUAUCUCACAAUUUCUGCUGGUCUGGAGUUUGGGAGUCGCUUGGCUGGGUGGCCUGGCUCCGGAUCUCUUGUGAGAUUGCAGUCAGGAUGUUGACUAGGGCUGAGGCAGUGAAGCUCUGACGGGGGCUGGAGGAUCUACUUCCGAGACGGUGCACUCAGACGGCUGUUGGCAGGAGGCCUCGGUUUCUUCCUGUGUGGACCUCUCCAUAGAGUCCGCCUCAGAGUCCUCAUGACAUGGCAGCUGGCUUCCACCAGAAUGAGUGCUCCAAGUGAGAGAACGACAGAGAACAAGCACGAGGCCACAGGGCUUUCAACGAUCUAGUCUCCCAAGUCACACAGUGUGUGCUUUGUUCUGUUUGUUAGACACAAGUCGCUAAGUCUAGCCCACACUCAAGGGGCGGGGGAUUAGCCUCCAUCUCUGAAACAAGAGAGUAUCACAGGAUUUGUGGACAUAUCUUAAAAUCAUCUCACUGGUUGGGAAGAAUUUCUAAUUUGUGCCGUUGAUAGGGAGAUAUCAAUAAAUGCCAUGCAUUACAAAGAAGAAGAAGAAAAGAAAGAAAAAGGAAAGUGCAACUCUAUUCAUGUCACUCUUCAUCCUACUCCACUAACUUCUGUCCCACACCUCAUCCCCAUCCCUUUCUGAUUCUGAAACUGCUUGUGGUUUUGAAUAAUUUCUCCAUAACUCCAAUCAUUGGUCUUACAAUUGCUGAGAUCUUGCAAUAUUCAUAACUUCUUAGGAAAAAGAAUCCAAUCCACUCAGAGGCCCAGGUAGCCCUGAAGCCUGGAGUCACAAGAAAGACAAAAGUCUAUGAAUUUAGAGGACAAAAGUGAGGUGAUAUGUAAAGAGAGAAAUUCUCUGCAGAUGUGAUCCUUUUUUACUGACGUCUCCUAGAGUUCUGGGGGGCGUUGCCAAAGCUCCCCAGAGGACUCCCUUGGUUCCCUCUAAUGACAGGAGAAGGCAAUCUCACCUAUGUGGGGCCAGCAGAUCUGAUUUCUCACUCAUCACUCCUAGGCAGCUCCUCUGAGCUUCCUGGGCUCCAUGCUUCCAGCCUCCAGUGAGCAAUAACCAUGGUACUAAAUCACUCUCUGCCCAUUGUUAUCCAGAGUCUGCCCAUGGACAUCUUUAUAUCCUACCAGGAAGUCUGUUCUGAUCAGCCAUUCACCGACCUCCUUUCAUGCUUACAACAGGCAAGAAAAGCGGCUUCAGGGACUACCAGCUCGCACAGCACAGUCAGUCCUAAUGGCCUUAUCACUCGGCUACCUGCUCCUCCUUCCCAAAGGGAGCACCAGUUAGUGUCUGUGAGCCAGAGAGUCUGGCUGAACCAUCCUAUUACUGUUUUAUAUAAAGCACUUACUGAAUUCCUAGAGGGAACAGGAGUCUCCAAGGGGAACUUGGCUCAUUAAACUGCUGCCCGCUUUCCAAGCAGCUAGAGAGGAUCUUAGAGGGGGUGAGCAGGGAGGCAAGACCUUCGAGGGGCUUGGUGAUGCGAAUGUGCUAACCUCUGGGCACCUGGGCAGUGACAAUAGGGAAUAACCUCAGAGGAGAAAAUGAGCAAUGCACUUUUCUUUUUUGCCCCAUUUAAUGGGGUUGAAGAAGAAACAAGGCCCUUUUAUAGAGUGAUACAAAUAUGUCCAGUAUCAAAGCUUCUAGGUUCCUGUACCUAAAAAACUCUUUAUGAUUAGUUUUUUCUUUCUUUUUUAUAUAUAAAGAAAAUUCUCCAUCUGUCUCUGCCCUAUAGAAUUCUCUACUUAGCCCUAGAUAGAUAAAGAAAAUGGCUUCUGAAGAUACGGUCUUUUAAAAGCCUAGAGAAGAAAGAACAGACAUUUCUUUAAAAGGCCUCUGGCCAUGAUGUCUUUCAACUCCAGUUUAUAGGAAUGAUUCACAGAAACCCUCUGGUAAAUGGCUUUUUGCUCAGAAAACAAGCCAACUCCCAUGUUGACAGGAUGCCGUCUGCAGAGAACUUGGGCAUUGCAUUUGCAAAGGUUUCCAGAGCUGACUGAUGCAUCUGGAUGCUAUGUACUCUGGGUAUGAAAUCAUUAAGGACUUCAUUCUACUGCCAGGGCCAAGUCUGCAGAAAAAGGAGAAGGAAGCCCUUGGUACAGUGGAGGACAGUCAGGGUAUGAUCUCUGAAUGCCAUUCUGCCCCAGAACGGGACUGGCAAGCUUCUACUUCACCUUCAUCCAAGUUGCUCAGCACAGAGAGGAGGAGUCCAAUUCUGCUCCCUCUUAUACGGGGUGUUUAAGCAAACAUGUACACUAGGCAGACUGAGGAAGCGAGCACAUGUGUGUGGCAGUAGGUCGUACCUGUGUGAGAGUACCACCUUCCAGGAUCUGCAAACACCUGGAUAUCUACUAUGACCUCAGAGAGGGCAAGCUGCACUUGGAGCCGAUGCUUUACUGACCUUCCUUUCCCAGUACGAAAUUCCUUCCUUUGAUGACAGUGCAUAAAGCCACAGUCAUUACAGCUGAAAGCAAAUAUUCUUACACUCUUUCUUUAGGACCUUUGGUAGAACUGUUUUCACCUACCUGCUUUGAAAUGAGCUGUGGCCAUCUGACUUGCUUUGUUAAGUAAAACAUGGGUAGAAAUAAUGGUGCCACUUCCUGUUGAGACUUUAAGAGUUGCUACAUAAUUCACCACCUCUUCUUUGAUCUGCCCAGGUAAACUGGCAAUGGUCCAGUGAUGGCUGCUUUUGAAGUGAGGAUGACUUGGAGCAGAGUCCCCACCAACUCUUGAUGGACAUGUAAGGAGAGGGAGAAAUAAGCUUUUACUGUUAUACGUCAUGAAGAUAGUUGCCUUAUUUGUUACUGCAGCAUAGCCUAGCCUGUUCUACCUGACUCUCCUAAUCCCCACUGGGAAGAGGGGGCUUCUAGCUGCCAACGGGAGCAUAUUUUGUGGGAAGAAUCUAUGUUCACAGUUCAUAGAAACACCUCUCUAGAUGAUAGUUUGAAAAAGUCCUUCUCACUUCCAGUCCAGGGAAAUACAUACUAUCUGGGCCACAGGAGAGAACCAAGUUUCCAUAAAAAGUUAGCUGUAUAUAAUUUUGCUGUGGAAGGAUAGAUAAUUAACCAAAUUCUUUCAAUUGCUUUGUUACAGUUUAUGAUUAAACUAAACUGUCUUUCUUCCUAGGCCUGUGUGCAACCUGCAGCCUCUACAGCCUAUGUGCAUAUGCCAUUUCCACUCUUUAUCUGAAUGCAUUUUGUUCCUUCAACAGGACUGGGGUGAAAGAUCAUGAGCUAAUCAUUCUUCAACAGUGAUGAAACCUGGCAGCGUUCUUGUCUAGAGCAUAAUUGUUUUCUUAAUGAACUCUUACAUCUGUCCUCUGUAGGAGAGGCUUUGGAAAAGAUUUGCUUUAGGAUCCUUAAGAGUAAGCAUAGGGUUAUAAACAGUGGCCUGUCACAAUUUUAUUCUCAUCAAACCGGCAGUAGGAAGUAUGUGUGUGAAGUAUCUGUAUAGUAAGGUUCAGUAUACAUGAGCUAUGAUUAUGAUUAUGAUUAUUUUUAAAAUAGAGGAAACCCUUGAAUGGUUAUGGAAUUGUAGCUUGGGUUCCCUAGAACAAAGCUUAAGGCAGGGCUUAAAUGCUAAUGCUUAUGCUUCAUUAGGGGAUGCAAUUUCAGAGUUUAGAGAGUAAGGCAAGGGAAGCAGGUAAAGCAAGUCAAAGGUGGUGGUUUCCGAACCUGCCACACCUCCAAAGAAAAAACAGCUGGUUGCUUCAAGGGCUCUGGAGACGUUAUGAGGAACCACUGUACCUCAGAACAAUCUGUCAAGGGAAGGACAGGAGCAGUGUUUUCUUGCUGGCUUCUUUCUCCCUCCUGCCUCUCACUAGUCAGGUGUUAUUUCACUGGGGGUUAAUCUCUGCCCCCCACACACACAUGCACUGCAGGUUGUGUUCUCAGCCACUCUGGGAUAGGGCCAAUCCCCAACCUCAUGCCCUAAUGUUUAAUCCAUGCCCCAAGAGGAAGAGGACCUGAGCCUUUAUGGGUCUAAUAAGGUCUGUACAGGGCACCUGAGUUGCUGCCAGUGGUGAUAGGAAAUAGGGUGGCAGCAGCUACUGUUCUCUUGAGCAAAAUCCAAGACCUAGGGACAUGUGGGGCAGAGUGAUCUGGGGAGGUACAUAAACUGAACCUGACACAAGUACUUGGUAUUUAAUUGAAAGAAGUAUGAUAUUUCUAUGUGGAGACAAUAAUGAGUCUUUAAAAAAUUUUUCAUGUGGGCAAUUAAAUGCUUGUAAUUAUAGAUAGUUGUCAGCCUGCUUCAAAGGGCUGUGGAGCUUCUCAGAAGAAAGCAGCUUGGAUAUGGUUUAAGAUUAAGAUAUUACAAACUGUGUCAGAACUGGUAACCUCAAAUGCCCAGAUUGUUGGGAAUCACGAGACCCGGUUAGCCUCCUGGAAACUUAGAGAGGGGGAGAUCUGAGUCAGUUCUACAAGAGUGGUCAGUAAGUCCUUUGUGGCAAACUUUUCAAAGACAAAGGGCUAGAGAUGACACUUAUCCUAUUGCACCCAAGUAGGGCUUGCCAGCAGGUGUACUUGCACACACUCAAAUAAACAAACAAAACCAAGGCGUUAGGUUACGGGCCACUGAAAGAAUUUGGAGAGUCAGUUAUGCCUACUUGGUACCAGAAAUCAUCCAAAUAUCCAAACUGUGAGUAUCACACACAAGUGAGUAUGAUUCACUAGAGCAUCUUCCAAGAUGCAAGAUGAGCUGGAAGUAAAGGUCUGUUUGGCCAAGUGUGUUUGGAAUUGCUAUGUGCAUUGCCUUGUCUUGGGAUGCUUAAAUAGCAUGAAGGCUCCAAGAUAUCCUAUUGUUAAACAGCCUGUUUAUCCUAGCAUUUCCCAAACUUUUUUCAUCAUAGGUCCUUCUCUUUUGCAUGACAAUUAUCAGCCUUCCGAGGGACUGUAAAUCCUUAGAGAAAACUUAGGGAAACUCUAGACUGUCGAGAAAAGUGGUGUGAUUUCGUAGGAAUUCAGGCAGUUGAGAGCGCGAGAACUGUGCUCUAGGACUGCUUUGGAUAUUAACCCUCUGUGACUUUAAAAUCAAGUGGCAUAACCACAUCCUGCCUUAGUUUCUUUGUUUUCCAAAUAACAUGUGGUAACAAGGUAGUAUUUUAUAUGGUCACGAGGAAGACCAGAUGAAGGAAUGGAUGUGAAGCAUUUUGGAAAAUUAAAAGGAAAUGAAAAACGAGUGAACUCUCUGCUCUUCAAGUGAAUGUUGUGGUCUACGAUUGAUCCAAUAAGCACUCUCAUCUUUACAAAUGAGUCCUGUGCUGAUCUGAGCAGGUUUUGCCUUUUUGACAGGCUCUUAGGUAGUUCUGAGAAUGCAGAGAGCCAGGAGGAGCGAUGUUGAGUGGUUGCCAGAGCCAAAUGAGGAAGCCCUGCUGCCAGCUUCCCACCAAAACAUGGGUGUUUAGACCAUUUUAUUCAAAACCAGCUCUUUGAAGGCACUAAGUGCUGAAUAAAUAUUGCUAAAAUAUGUGUGUGGCUUCUCUACUUGAGAGAGAGGAAAUGAAUAAUUGACUUCAGAGUUCCACCCCAUCCACAUAUCUCUUCCUGCAUAUGUGUAUCUCUUCCAGCAUGUUCCUUCUGGGUAAAAAUGGAAAGAAGAGUGUGAAUCAUCAACUCCUCCAAUAACAGAACAGGAACGGACUCUCGGGCUCAUCUUUUCCCCCUCUCUACUUGACAGAGGAGUAAACUGAGACCCGAGAACUACACCAACUUAUCCCUGCUCAAAAGAACUGUUGGGAGUGGAGCUGGACUCGGUUCUCCAUCAUUCUGAGCCAGUACUCUUCCACUAUACCACAUGGCCUCAUUUCCUACUCUCCAAUGAUUUGAAAAUGUUACUAUUAGAGACCCACUAGACCCUUAAAUAUAAGUGAACCAAAGAGGAAAUUUGCUAGGAUUACAUAAAAUCACCAAAGGGUGGCCAUGUUGCAAAGCAGCCUGCUCUCCAGUUAAAAUGGCUUUUCUAGAGGAGGUUAUAUGGAAUGACAGACUGAGGACAGAUGAGCUGAAUCAGGUUGCGUUCCUUAGAAGCAGAGUCAGGGUAGGGCAGAGGGAGAAGCCUAGCAAGGAUGUGGCCUUGGGUAAGGCCUUGCUUUGGUCUGAUCCAUGGGAGGAAGAUUCUGGAGCACAUAUCAGACAGAGUAGUUGUCCCUUUUUAGACAAGAAGCUCAACUUUCUAUAUGCCCAUGUAUGUCAGGCAUUGGCUGUAUGUCUCUGGGAUGGGUGCUUAUCUUCCCAGGCAAGACAGCUCCUGUCCUCCAAGGGUGGUUCUCCAGAGAAGGGGACAGCUGUGAGUCAUUAGCAGCCACCUGUCACAACAGGCAAAGUCAGGGCGUCUGCUGGUUAAGGGGAUCUGGGCCCAGCCCCCACAGCAUCUAGCACAGGAGCAGAGUGUGGGUGCAGGAGCGGGAACAAGGUUUAACAGAAACAGACCCACUGUCAUUCCCUUGGAAGUGGGCAUUUGCUCAGACCCAUCAAGGCUGGACAGAACAGGCAACCAAGUGAAACCAUCAGACCAUCGUGUUUGUCUUUGUUUCUCUCUGUGGUCAUGCUCAGAGAACUUCGUCCCUCUCAGUUUCGCAUUUCCUUCAGGCUUUAUCUUGCACUUUAAUUGUAAUAAUCUAAGCAAAGACAACAAGGAGAAGGAGAGGUGUGAUGACAUCUCUUGAUGCCUUGGCAGCCAUCUUUGAUGCUCACACUGCCCAGAGAAGCCUUCCAGAACUUUCUCAUUUCACAGUGAGAUGGCAACCAUGGCUGCCCACCAUAUACUCAUGGAAUAAAAAUGGGGUGUGGUACUCUCCCACCUUGAUAAAUUGGGAAAUUCUCUCAUGCCCUUUCUCAGUUCUCUGUGGUAUGUGAACUUGACGUUCCAGGCCAAAUGAGUCAGCAGAGAUGGCAAUGCUACAUUUAUUUGCACAAAAACGUGUCAGCAGUUCUCUAAAAAAACAAAUGCAUUCUUAUCAUACUGUGAAUAAAAUAUUAAUUCUUCACUUUGAAGAGAUUAGGUCACGAUGCUGUAGCAUGACAUUUUAUUGUUGGGAAAGGCUUUAGGACAAUUCUUGUCCAGUUUCCUCAUUUUAAAGUGGAGAAACUGAGGCCCAGAGAAAUGAGAAUGAUUUAGCUAAGAGCAUAGAGCUAGUUAAUGGCAGAAAUUGUAAGGAUCAUUCUUUAAAAACAAACAAACAAAAACCUAGGAAGUUUCUAUCGGGUGCCAAAGUGCCAAAGCUUGUUCUGGGAGCCAAACACACCACAUUGACUAAGAUCCAGCGGCUGCCCUCCAGGAAGGCACAAUGCACCAUGAAUGGCCAACUAAACACUUUCUAGCAUGUGUUCCAUUUGAAGUCCUUAUAGGGUAUGGGGGAUGCUGGGUGGCAGAUAGAAUGGGAUUGGCCUGGGGAAUUUUGGGGAAGCUUUGCAGAGGAGGAGAUAUUUAUGUUGAAACUUAGAAGAUGAAUCAGAUUUUCAGAUUCAGGAAAGAGAGAAAGAAGUGUAAAGAAGGCACCCCCACAAAAGGCACAGCCUGAAUGAUGGCAGAGAAAUGGGAAGGAAUGGGAUUUUUCAGGGGAAGGUGCAGGUGAAUCUGAAUAGCUGCUCAGGAGAGCUCCAGAGGAGAAAUGCUGUGUGGACCAUGAGUCUGGGAACUAAGCCUGGCAGGAGAGGUAGGAGAGAAGGAAAUGAAGAAGAUUGAACUCGCAAAGCAGAUUUGACCUUUGAGCAGUGAUUUGAAGAGCCAAGAUUAUGGCCUCUUAACUACAAAAUCUCUACCUGACCCUAUCCAGCACCUUUUUCAGCCAUGAUGCUUAAAAUUCACUGUUUAGGAUUUAUUCCUUUGGGCAUUGAAGAUGUCUUUGCCUUAAGUAAACCCUAUUAAAAUGUAAUGCCUCUGAGUGAGAUUAGCAUAAUCCAUCAGGUAAUGCCUCCAGAAAUUUGUUGACAACUAGAUGACAGCUAGCUGAAAACAAGAUCUGGCGGAAAGGAAACAGAGGAGACACGUAGGGGAGGGCGUUAGGUGCCAAAAGAGAGGGGAAGGUGCUGAGAGGGGAGGUUUUGAAAUUGUGCCUGUGGUUGGCCCUGCCUGAGAACUGUAUGUGCAGGCCAGGUAUGGGGUCAAAAGGAACUUUAUGUGGCCUAGAGACUAAUGGUGGUUGCCCAGGCCCUCCGUUCUGAUGGGGAACACAAUGCAUGUAGACAGAGAAUUGUCCCUUCUGCAAGUGGCCUCAGGGAAUGAGAGUGCAGACUCUAAAUCUGUCCACCUUAUUUGGUUUGAAGGGGAGAAAGAGGAAGUGUUGGCUCACAUAAAACUCUAGUUUCUCUUCCUCGGGUAGGGAAACAUGACGAACGUAACUCCAAAUUUGGAUAUUCUUAGACUCUGUUGGGAAUCUGCUUGUACGUACUGGAAACUGGUACAGGUUUUACAUUAAACUUGCUUCAAUCAUCUCCAGGAGGUGCAUUACACUUAUCUCCAAAUUUGAGUGAAAUUGCCUGCCUAUUCUAUAAUAACAAAAAUAUCACAGAGCUACUAAGUGCCUGAGCAAAGCUCUGAAGCCAUUUCUGUUAUUAAGCCAUGAGUAAUAUCUGCCAGUGGUAGCCAGCCCCCAAGAUGGUCCCGGUAUUCAUGCCCUUGUUAGUGUCUCCUCCUGCACGGGAUAGGGCUGACUGUGUAACCAACAGGAUAUUGCAGAAAAGAUGGAGAGUGAUUUCUGAGGCUGGGCAUAAAAGACGAUGUGUUUCCAGCUUGUGUCCUUGGACCACUGGCACUGUGGGAAGCCUGCUGUCAUGUCGUGAGGACUUAUGCAGCCUAUGGAUGGACCAGUGUGGUCAAGACCUAAGGCCUCUUGCCAACAGCCAUGUGAGGGAGUCAUCUUGGAAGUGGAUCCUCUGACUCCGAAAACCCUUCAAAUGACUCCACUCCCAGCACAUAUCGGGACUGCAACAUCGUGAGAGACCCUUAGCCACUCCCAAAUUCCUGACCCCAAAAUACUAUGGACAAUAAAUUUUUAUUGUUUUAAGCCUCUAAGUUUAAGGGUAAUUUGUUAUACAGCAGCAGAUCAUCUAAUGUACUGCCUAAUAUGAUGAAAUUCGGGGUAACGUGUAGGAGAAUGCUGAGAACAUAUUACUUCACACUGUAGAAAGGAUAUGGAUUUCUUUAAACACGUCACAAUCCUAAAAGGUCUAUCCAAUGAUCCAGGGGCCUGAAUGGGCCACCAAAAUAAUAGAGGGAUGUCUCUAUACAGAUUUAUUCAACAAAAUGAUAGAUGGGUAUACAGGAAAACCUGCUCAGAUGUGCCCUGUAGUUCUGAUAUGCAAGGGAGACUAUUGGAGGUAUGCCCUGAUGAAAAGGGAAGGGAAACAGCAAUCGCAUCUAGAGUUUACAGACUUAGAUAGCAUUGCUUCGAACCUCACUGACGUCUUGCUUUCCCAGAAAAUGGGAAAUGAAAUAAAAACUGAAGGGGGAGGGGUGACUUAUCCCUAGGGAGGUUCAGCAGAUUUAGUGAGAUCAUGAAGAUAGCACAUCCUAACUAAAACCAUGAACUUGGUCAACCCAGUCCUCCUGCCCCACUAGGUCAUAUUCCAGCUGACCUCAAUAGAGACAGUUCCAUUCAAAGAUUAUCAUUAAACAGAAGAGAACCAUAUAGACCUUAUGCAUUGAUUCUCAUGGUGGGAAAGGGAGGAAGGAGCACAAGCAAAGGCAGAUGGUCAGCAUUCCUUCUCCUAAAUUUGGUAAUAGGCCCCAAUUUUUUGUGGGGGGGGGGCCUUACUCACUCUCAUUUCAUGUGGCUCUGGUGUGAUAACCAAUCAUUCUCUCCCACUUUUGCUGCCAGAGGUAUGUGAUCCAAAUCUGGCCAAUAAGAAUAACCAUUUAUGAAGCCAAACUGGUAGCUUCAAGGAUAAGCAUGUGAUUGAAUGUGGACCAAUCAGAGUCUUCCCUGGAAUGUCUCUGUCAGUGCUCUGGCCAAAGAUGCUCUUUUCUUAACAGUGUUGCUAAGCAUUAGAAUAUGAGUCUUGAGUUGGCAGCGGCUAUCAUGGCAACCACUUGUAGAGAGCUUAACCAGUAGAUGGAGAGCUGAAGACAUCAGUUGAGAUCCUAGAUGUUCCUAAAACUGCAUUGCCCUUGGACUUUUCAGUGAUAUGAACAAAUAAAUUCACUUUUACACUAAGCUAGUUUGAGUUGAGUGUCUAUCAUUUGCAACCAAGUAAGUACAGAUCAAUUCAUUAUUACAAAACAGAAAAGUUCACAAAAUAGUCCCUUAGAGUCUUAGAGAAUUGAAAGAUGGCACAGACUAUUUGGAAGAAAAAAAAACCACCUCAAAAAGAAAUAAGGAAGAUGAAAGAAAAGAUGGUGAGCGGAAAAGUUGAAAAGCAAGCUGGCAAAACAUGGAAAAGAAACAGAAGAGAAAAUCAAACUAUUGCAAAGAAGAAAGCCACGUAAAGAAAAUAUAAAAGGUAAAAAGAAAUUGGAUGUAAACAUUGUUAGAGACAUGGAUAACAGGCUUGAGGGAAUUAUUAUUUUAUAAUCACAAGAUAUAAUUUUUAAAAAUAAAGUGAUAGCAAUUAAAUGAAAAGCAUGUGCAGGGGAGGAAGACAUUUCCUCUUCCCAAAUAUGGGUUCGUCUGGCUGGAGAACGAAUUAAACUCACAUGAGACAGAAUAGCAAGAGAAAAUUAAACAAAGCUUUAUGAGGAACCAUGGUCCAGGGCCUUUCUUCCUGAAGGAAGAAAGGGCACCGAAGAAGUGGGGUGCACAGAGUGGUUAUAUACCCCCAAACAGGGUGUUUCACAUGUGAUUGAAAUGUCCCUCCCACAAUAGUCACAAGAUUGCCCUGUCGGCACAGCGCUUGAUGGACUCAGCAGGUAGUGGUCUGCUAUCUCGGUGGGCGUAGCAGGAGGCAAGUCUAUUGUCUGGAGCUGGGCGGUCACAGGUGAGCGCAGCAAUCAGUUCCUAGCCUAAGGAAAGAUGCUAAAUCCUUAAAGAAAUGCCAAAGUUGGGAGGGAGAGGAAAGUCAGUUACAGGAGGUUACCAGACAAACACAAUAAAAUGCAGAUUUAAGUCCUUGCCUUUGGUAUUGAUUAAGAGUUUCUAGAGAGAAGGUCAUCUCCUUUCUUCUUCCUGGUACAGCGAGGGAGGCACAUUUUACAGAUAGAGAUUUACCUUACAAAUGUAAAUGUGUCCUAACAAAGGGUAAGUUCCAUUCCUCAGAGCCUCCUUCCCUGUCCCAGUUUAUCAAAAGCAAUCAGCCUCAAAUAAUCCUGAUGCCAAAGAGACAUAUCUUGGGGUGGCCAAUUUCACGUCCCCACACAUGGAAGGCAGACAAAGGCAAUCACAUAUGUAUGUACACAUAUACAUGCAUAUACAGUCAUGUGUCACUUAAGGAUGGGGACAUGUUCUGAGAAAUGCAUCGUUAGCAGAUUUUGUCAUUGUGCAAACUUCACAGAGUGGACUUACACAGACCUAGAUGGUAUAGCCUUCUACACGCCUAGGCUAUAUGGCACUCAUGUCAUGGGACCCCUGUUGUAUAUACAGUCUGUAGCUGACUGAAACACCAUUAUGUGGUGCAAGACUGUAUGUAAGUUAUGUUAUAUACUAUAUAUAUAUGCAUAUACACGGCUGGUGUUUAUGAAUAAUUAUAAUAGCUAAUAUUUACAUGGUGCUUACUACAUGUCAGGCAUUUCCUAAAGCCUUUGUUAACUCAUUUACUCUUUAUAAGAGCUGUAUGAAAGCAGGU